GCGGCUAGCUCAGUCGGUAGAGCAUGAGACUCCAAAUCUCAGGGUCGUGGGUUCAGGCCCCACGUUGGCCG
rnacentral:tRNA from 1 species